rnacentral:rRNA from 1 species
UACAGGGGGCUCGAGCGUUAAUCGGAAUCAUUGGGCUUAAAGGGUGCGUAGGCGGGUUGCUAAGUGUUUUGUGAAAUCCCCCGGCUCAACCGGGGAAUCGCAGGGCAUACUGGCAGCCUUGAGGCAUGUAGGGGCGGACGGAACUGUAGGUGGAGCGGUGAAAUGCGUAGAUAUCUACAGGAACGCCGAUGGUGAAGACGGUCCGCUGGGCAUGUCCUGACGCUGAGGCACGAAAGCGUGGGGAGCAAAC